AUGAAGGUUGAAGAAGCAUUGGAAGAUCCAGAUUGGAUAAACGCUAUGCAUGAAGAGCUACAUAAUUUUGAGAGAAACCAAGUUUGGACAUUGGUUGAGAAGCCCGACAACAACCACAACAUCAUUGGUACCAAAUGGGUGUUCCACAACAAGCAAGAUGAAGAUGGACAAGUGGUUCGCAACAAAUCACGUCUCGUCGCAAAAGGGUACACACAAGUCGAAGGUAUGGACUAUGGUGAGACGUAUGCCCCCGUUGCUAGACUUGAGUCCAUUCGUAUCUUACUUGCUUAUGCUAAUCACCAUAACAUCACCUUGUACCAAAUGGACAUUAAAAGUGCUUUUCUAAAUGGUGAAAUAGAGGAGGAAGUUUAUGUCAAACAACCUCCCGGCUUUAUCAAUCCUAAGAAACCAAAUCAUGUUUACAAACUUCACAAAGCUCUUUAUGGUCUUAAACAAGCUCCUAGAGCAUGGUAUAAAUGCUUAACCAAGUUCCUUACUACAAGUGGUUUUGAAAUUGGUAAAAUUGAUUCUACUCUUUUUACUAAAAGGGUUAAUGGAGAGCUAUUUAUAUGCCAAAUUUAUGUUGAUGAUAUCAUAUUUGGUUCAACUAACCCCCUCUUUAGUGAAAAGUUUGGAAAGCUAAUGUCAGAGAAGUUUGAGAUGUCUAUGAUGAGUGAACUCAAAUUCUUUCUCGAGUUGCAAAUCAAGCAAACUAAGGAAGGUACAUUUGUCUCUCAAACAAAGUACACCAAGGACUUAUUCAAGAAGUUCAAUAUGCAAGAAUGCAAAUGUAUGUCUACACCCAUGCCUACUAGUGGACAUAAUGAUUUAACCAAAGAUGGUGAACCGGUUGAUCAAAAGGUUUAUCGCUCUAUGAUUGGUUCAUUGUUAUACCUAUGUGCUUCAUGUCCCGAUAUUAUGCUAAGUGUGUGCAUGUGUGCACGAUAUCAAGCUACUCCUAAAGAUUGUCAUCUUAAGGCUGUGAAAAGGAUAGUGAGAUAUUUAAUCCAUACACCAAAUUUUGGCAUUUGGUAUCCUAAGAGGUCUUCUUUUGAUCUUGUUGGCUAUUCCGACUCGGAUUAUGCCGGAGACAAGGUUGAUAGAAAGUCCACUUCGGGUACUUGUCAAUUUCUUGGUAGAUCUCUUGUGUCUUGGUCUUCCAAGAAACAAAACUCGGUAUCCUUAUCCACCGCCGAAGCUGAAUACAUUGCCGCUGGUUCAUGUUGUGCUCAAUUACUUUGGAUGACCCAAACUCUUAAAGAUUAUGGGAUUUAUGUGAAACAUGUUCCACUGCUUUGUGACAAUGAAAGUGCUAUCAAAUUUGGUCAUAAUCCUGUACAACAUUCUCGGACUAAGCAUAUGGAAGUUCGUCAUCAUUUCAUUCGAGAUCAUGUUGCUAAGGGUGACAUCAAUCUUAAGCAUGUUCGCACCGAUAAGCAAUUAGCGGAUAUAUUCACUAAACCACUUGAUGAGAAAGUGUUUUGCAGGUUGAUAGGAGAAUUGAACAUCAUUGAUGCUUCGAACUUGGAGUAG
rnacentral:rRNA from 1 species